AACGAACGCUGGCGGCAGGCCUAACACAUGCAAGUCGAGCGCCCCGCCAGGGGCGCGGCGGACGGGUGAGUAACGCGUGGGAAUAUGCCCUUUGCUACGGAAUAGUCUCGGGAAACUGGGGGUAAUACCGUAUACGCCCUUUGGGGGAAAGAUUUAUCGGCGAAGGAUUAGCCCGCGUUGGAUUAGGUAGUUGGUGGGGUAAUGGCCUACCAAGCCGACGAUCCAUAGCUGGUUUGAGAGGAUGAUCAGCCACACUGGGACUGAGACACGGCCCAGACUCCUACGGGAGGCAGCAGUGGGGAAUCUUAGACAAUGGGGGCAACCCUGAUCUAGCCAUGCCGCGUGAGUGAUGAAGGCCUUAGGGUUGUAAAGCUCUUUCAGCUGGGAAGAUAAUGACGGUACCAGCAGAAGAAGCCCCGGCUAACUCCGUG
rnacentral:rRNA from 1 species